rnacentral:rRNA from 1 species
AGAGUUUGAUUCUGGCUCAGGAUGAACGCUGGCGGCGUGCCUAACACAUGCAAGUCGAACGAAGCACUGCAGACGGAGAUUCGUCGAAGCCUGCUUUGACUUAGUGGCGGACGGGUGAGUAAUGCGUGAGCAACCUGCCUUUCAGAGGGGGACAACAGUUGGAAACGACUGCUAAUACCGCAUAACAUAUUUUGGGGGCAUCCCCGGGAUAUCAAAGGAGCAAUCCGCUGAAAGAUGGGCUCACGUCUGAUUAGCUAGUUGGUGAGGUAACGGCUCACCAAGGCUGCGAUCAGUAGCCGGACUGAGAGGUUGAACGGCCACAUUGGGACUGAGAUACGGCCCAG